AAACACACAGAGUGCUCACACACAUCAGCAGGAAAGCCCGUCUUCCACUGCAGCAGUGGUGCCUGUCUCCCCAUGGACACAACGCAAUCGCCCAACAGCCACAGGACAAACCCCUCAACCCUCAGCCCCUGCUUCAAUCUGCAGCCAAUCUAUUCCAGAACUACACUGAGGUAUCACAGUCCCCAAUCAAGCCAACGGCAACGGCAAACAGCUACGCUACACUACGCUACGGACAACGGCAGGACACACGCUCGCCUUCUCUCCAGGAGACCGUAAAUCACGCGAUGGCAUCGUUUCUCAUAUAAAUGCCUUUUCCCUCCCUCCCUCCCUCCCUCUCUCUAUCUCUUUGUCGCAGAUGGAAUUGGAGCUCUGUAAUCCCACUAAAGCAGGGUAUUUAUGCCUCUGCUGCCUCUUUAAGUGUCUCCUGCAAAGGCUAAGCUUUCAGCGACUUUUGAAGUGCUGAGCAGCGACAGCGACUUGCUCUCCUUCUCUUCUACCUCUCUCUCUCUUUUCCCCUCUCU